GUGUUUUGCUUCAGCAACACAUACACUAAAAUUGGAAUAAUACAGAAAUUAGCACAGCCCUUGCACAAGGAUGACAUGCAGAUUUUUUUCUUUUUAGUGGUUUUU